rnacentral:misc_RNA from 1 species
CAAAACCCAAAGUUCUAAAACAGAACAGUUGGAGAACAAGUCAUGGCUCCCUCCUUUCUUGGCACUAAUUAACUGAAAUGCCAUUCUCUAAUCUCUCUCUUCAGCUUUAUUAGGGGUUUACCAUCUCCUCUCUAUAGCCCACUGCUUAAACAUAGGAAAGGGUGGGGAAAAACUAAUCAAGGGGUGUCCAUGGCAUCAAAGCUACCUCAGUUGCAUGCUAAGGUGAGUUCAGCAGCCAAGCAUGGAUGUGCUUUCUACAAGCAGUUGUUGGAGCAAAAUAAGCAAUAUAUCCAGGAGCCACCCACCGCAGAGAGAUGCCAAUUGCUCGCAAAUCAACUGCUUUACACUCGUCUUGCCAGUAUUCCUAACCGCUGUGAAUCAUUCUGGAAGGAAGUUGAGUCUCUCAAGAACCUAAUGAAGAACAAGCAAGAGUUCAAUAUAGAGAAUGCUGGCCUUGUUGCUCUGUUUGGACUUGAGUGCUUUGCUUGGUUCUGUGGUGGUGAAAUAAUUGGAAGAGGUUUUACAGUAACUGGUUACAGUGUCUAAUUUCAACUGCUUUAA